CCUACGGGCGGCAGCAGUGAGGAAUAUUGGUCAAUGGGCGCGAGCCUGAACCAGCCAAGUCGCGUGAGGGAUGACGGCCCUACGGGUUGUAAACCUCUUUUGCCGGGGAGCAACGGGCGUCACGUGUGGCCCCACUGAGAGUACCCGAAGAAAAAGCAUCGGCUAACUCCGUGCCAGCAGCCGCGGUAAUACGGAGGAUGCGAGCGUUAUCCGGAUUUAUUGGGUUUAAGGGGUGCGUAGGCGGAUAGUUAAGUCAGUGGUCAAAUUGCGGGGCUAAACCCGUUCCCGCCACUGAAACUGGCGAUCUUGAGUGGAGGAGCGGUAUGCGGAAUGCGUGGUGUAGCGGUGAAAUGCAUAGAGAUCACGCAGAACACCGAUUGCGAAGGCAGCAUGCCGGCCUACGACUGACGCUGAGGCACGAAAGCGUGGGGAGCGAACAGGAUUAGAUACCCGGGUAGUC
rnacentral:rRNA from 1 species